AAAUUGAAGAGUUUGAUCAUGGCUCAGAUUGAACGCUGGCGGCAGGCCUAACACAUGCAAGUCGAACGGUAACAGGAAGCAGCUUGCUGCUUUGCUGACGAGUGGCGGACGGGUGAGUAAUGUCUGGGAAACUGCCUGAUGGAGGGGGAUAACUACUGGAAACGGUGGCUAAUACCGCAUAACGUCGCAAGACCAAAGAGGGGGACCUUCGGGCCUCUUGCCAUCAGAUGUGCCCAGAUGGGAUUAGCUUGUUGGUGAGGUAACGGCUCACCAAGGCGACGAUCCCUAGCUGGUCUGAGAGGAUGACCAGCCACACUGGAACUGAGACACGGUCCAGACUCCUACGGGAGGCAGCAGUGGGGAAUAUUGCACAAUGGGCGCAAGCCUGAUGCAGCCAUGCCGCGUGUAUGAAGAAGGCCUUCGGGUUGUAAAGUACUUUCAGCGGGGAGGAAGGUGUUGUGGUUAAUAACCGCAGCAAUUGACGUUACCCGCAGAAGAAGCACCGGCUAACUCCGUGCCAGCAGCCGCGGUAAUACGGAGGGUGCAAGCGUUAAUCGGAAUUACUGGGCGUAAAGCGCACGCAGGCGGUCUGUCAAGUCGGAUGUGAAAUCCCCGGGCUCAACCUGGGAACUGCAUUCGAAACUGGCAGGCUUGAGUCUUGUAGAGGGGGGUAGAAUUCCAGGUGUAGCGGUGAAAUGCGUAGAGAUCUGGAGGAAUACCGGUGGCGAAGGCGGCCCCCUGGACAAAGACUGACGCUCAGGUGCGAAAGCGUGGGGAGCAAACAGGAUUAGAUACCCUGGUAGUCCACGCCGUAAACGAUGUCUACUUGGAGGUUGUGCCCUUGAGGCGUGGCUUCCGGAGCUAACGCGUUAAGUAGACCGCCUGGGGAGUACGGCCGCAAGGUUAAAACUCAAAUGAAUUGACGGGGGCCCGCACAAGCGGUGGAGCAUGUGGUUUAAUUCGAUGCAACGCGAAGAACCUUACCUGGUCUUGACAUCCACAGAAGAAUCCAGAGAUGGAUUUGUGCCUUCGGGAACUGUGAGACAGGUGCUGCAU
rnacentral:rRNA from 1 species